GGAGCCCUCCCUGUACACUGUCAAGGCCAUCCUGAUUCUGGACAAUGACGGAGACCGACUCUUCGCCAAGCUGAUGCUCAUGGCUGUUCUGAACUGCCUCUUCGACUCCCUGAGCCAGAUGCUGAGAAAAAACGUAGAAAAGCGAGCUUUGCUGGAGAACAUGGAGGGGCUCUUCUUGGCUGUGGAUGAAAUUGUAGAUGGAGGGGUGAUCCUAGAGAGCGACCCCCAGCAAGUGGUGCACCGGGUAGCUUUGAGGGGUGAAGACGUCCCCCUUACAGAGCAGACCGUGUCUCAGGUGCUGCAGUCAGCCAAAGAGCAGAUCAAAUGGUCCCUCCUUCGGUGAAGGUGUUCUGAGCCCAGUUCCUUGCCCCUCAAAGCCCACAUCUGCUGUGACUUCUUAUCCAGGCCCCCCAACUUACGUCCUUAGGGUCAUCUUGGAGAAUUGCAAUGGAUUCUUGUGUCUCAUACUUUCUGGGGUUCUUUCCCCUCCCUCUCAUGAGAGUAAAGUCCCCAGCAUAUUUGAGUGAGUCAGAGAAAACACCCUCGUCCUACUUACACUGGUCUCGUCCCCCCUAUCCCCCCCUCAAAUCCCCCAUUCUCUCCUUGGUUUCUUGGCCCUUUACUGUGGCUGUACUUUAGAUCAACAAAGUAAGAGAAAGAAUGUGCUGAGUGUUUUCUUCCCUGUGCCUUAAGGGCCCUCAUCCCAGCAGCCCAUAUAUCCAGCAAAGGGAGGACUACUAUCUUCAGCA
rnacentral:lncRNA from 1 species